rnacentral:rRNA from 1 species
CCUACGGGAGGCAGCAGUGAGGAAUAUUGGUCAAUGGGCGUAAGCCUGAACCAGCCAAGUCGCGUGAGGGAUGAAGGUUCUAUGGAUCGUAAACCUCUUUUAUAAGGGAAUAAAGUGUGGGACGUGUCCUAUUUUGGAUGUACGUUAUGAAUAAGGAUAGGCUAACUCAGUGCCAGCAGCCGCGGUAAGACGGAGGUUCCGAGCGUUAUCCGGAUUUAUUGGGUUUAAAGGGUGCGUAGGCGGCCUGUUAAGUCAGCGGUGAAAGUCUUUCGCUCAACCAUAGAAUUGCCGUUGAAACUGGGGGGCUUGAGUAUGUUUGAGGCAGGCGGAAUGCGUGGUGUAGCGGUGAAAUGCUUAGAUAUCACGCAGAACUCCGAUUGCGAAGGCAGCAUACCGGCGCUCAACUGACGCUCAUGCACGAAAGUGUGGGUAUCGAACAGGAUUAGAUACCCUUGUAGUC